UUACUUUCUUGAGAUGUUCUUGCAGUGUUGAUUUUAUCACAUAAAUACACACUGAGCUACUUCAAACAGAGAACUUUGUCCUUGAUGAAAGCAGUCUCUAUGCAGAUGAAUGAACUCUCUGCCCUGAUUUUAAAACAUUGCAUCAUCUGUGAUUACACAUCAUAGCCUUGCCAUGUAUUUCCCGACAAGUUUGGCAAAGGGCAUCCAGCCUCCACCCUCUUUCCCAAGGAAGCUGUUUCAUAGUCUGUGUCUGGGUUCUGCUUACCAUCACCCUUCAUGGGUCAAAAUCCGGCAGUCCACCUCCCAGAUCUGUUUCACACAUAUGUAACCAUCAAACAAACAAAAAAUACGUUAAAUAAAACGUUAAAUCCCGUGAGAGAAAGUCUUUUGGUUAAAUGUGUGAAACGCAAACCAAAAUGAGCACACAUGACAUCACUGAUCAGAUGUAGUAGAUGUAAGAAAUCAGCAUGGGUGGUGAAAUGAGACUCAUGUGGAAUCAAUUAUUUGUUUAGCCAUGAUGUAGCCACAGUUGUGUCUACUCUGUGAUCUGUGGUGGUGGAAAGUGGCAAAAGGUCCAAGAUGUAGAAAUUUCCCAAAGAGAAGUUGGUUGCAGAGGAAGUCUGUGGUUGGAUUUAAGGUGCCAAGCAGCUGUUAUCUGUUCAAAACACACUCCAGGGACCAGAUGUAUUAAAGUAGUCCAUGCAUGCACCAUUUCUAAUGCAUUCAAUAUUUUAUAAAAGGAUUGAAAGGAAGGUAUGCUCCUCACCAUAACAGUAUGCAAUUGGUGCAUCUGGCCCCUGGGACUUGUCUUUAAAAAAAAACAAAAAAGUAAAAACUAUAUAUAAGUAAAUAUAAGUAAUGGAAUUACAUGAUAAGGAUACAAAAGAAGGCAGCUUUAAUCUGUUACAGUUACAGAAAAAAGAUGUAAUAAGAUUACCUUUACAUUUAGUAAAAAUGGGAUUAGCAGGAUUACAAUUUUAAAAUGCAUUCUAAAAUGAAGAACAAUACAUUUGCACUCUGUGCACACAUUAAGACACUUCAUGAAUCUAACAACACUACUAUGGUGUCUUCCAUUCUCUUUACUAAGGUUGCAUUGUUCUGUUGUCUUAUAGAAUAUACUUUAGUAAAAACCAUCUUAUUGAUACCUCUUUUCUCUUAUAAUCAAUCAAUAUGUUACUAUUGUUAUUGUGAUUAUUAUUAUUAUUGUUAUUUAGAUUACUGAGUAAUUUUUUACGGGUAAUUUUAAAUGGGACUCUAGUUUGAAAGGACCGGUGCGUAGAAUUUAGUGGCAUUGUUGUAGUUGUAUGUUGCAAACAAAAACGCCCUUAUCUAUAGACCCAGUGUUUGGUUUCUCCAUUCUGGGCUACUGUAGAAACUAGGGCUGCCCCCUAAUAGUCGACUUAGGAAGUUUUAUAACUGGUUCAGAAACAAAGACCACACCUUGCACUCAUCUCAUUUCCCCUCAAAAUGUACUUAAGCACACCUUAUCCGUUCCCUCCCUCCUCCACUAGAUUUCCACAUGAUCUGCAUCAGACAAGAGAUACAAAAAACGAAUACCUGGAACCACAAGCUCAUCCUCAACCCUUCAGACAGCAACACGUUUGAAGACGACUGGCAAACUCCUGAAAUCUCCGAGUCCUCUCCUUCGCCUACCAUCCCUUCAUGUCAGCCACCUAGGCUCCGCUCAACAAUCCACGUUCCCCAAUAUUCCCCAACGUUCCUCAAUGCUCCCAGCCUUCAUCAACUCUAAUAUCAUCGGGCCCUUGCCCCCAACACUCCAGGGGAGUCUUCGGUGUCCGACGGACAUCCCUCCAUCCCAGCAUCUUUUCCUCUUCUCUCAUUUCUAACUUCCCCAUCCCAUCUUCUUUGGCUGCCUCCGCUUCUCCCUUCCCAACUCUGCCUCACAGAGCUUGCCAACAACUACAAUCCAUGGCAAUGCUACCAGCCAAAACCCUCAGUUUCCUCCCGUUUCUUCUCAUUUCUUAAAGAUACAUUCAUGAUCGGUCCAUUCCCUAGUCCAAUGUUCCCUACAUUCGGAAUCAGUCCAACCCAUGUCGCCACCAGGAAAUAUAUAAGAGAAAGAGAUUUAUCAUAGACCAAUAGCUUAAUUCCCAGCCCAGAUUUCUCCAUGCAAUACGCAACAUUGUCAUGGUCAUUUGGACGACCGGGAUAGAGCCCGGUAGAGUUAAAACCCUUCCCAUCCAUCCCGACUACCAGCAUCACUUUGGCACACUACUUUGCCGUGCGCCUGACCUUCGUACGCAAGCCCCAAAAAGUUAAAUUCAUUGUCCCAAGCACUUAGUCGGAUCUUGACAAACAACUACAAACUCCCAUACAUCAUCCAACUGCUAGACUACUUUCUCACUGUCACACCACCAUCUUCUCCCCCAUCACACGGUCUCAAUACUCCAAUUUCCGCUUUCCAUGAGCUUGGCGUCCCUCUCUCCCUGGAGAAAACGGAGGGUCCACGCACAUCCCUGAAAUUUCUUGGCAUUAUCCUUGACACCGUUUCACUCCAAGCAUCCCCGCCCACGAAGAAAGUCUACAGGAUUUCCUUACUCAUUCCAUAUUUCCUCCUGGCUCACAGACACUAAACAACAACUUCUCUCGUCGCUCAGCCACCUAAACUACGUCAUCCACAUCUUACCCUAAGAUCGAUCCUUCUCAUCACACCUCCCUUCCAUAACCUUCUCUGUCUCAUCCCUCCACGAACACGCCGAAGUUGCCACUCCGGUGGCAGGAAGUUUUCAGCCAGAUGGUCACUUGAAUUCUCAUCCCUCUCUUCUUCCUCUGCCAUCUUCAAAAUGUGCCCAGUAAUCAUAGCAGCUAUUCCUUGGGGUCACAAAUGGUCCAAGAAAAUCAUCACCACUAAAUGGACCUGUACUUGUAUAGCGCCUUUCUAGUCUUCCAACCACUCAAAGCGCUUUUACACUACGUGCCACAUUCACCCUUUCACACACAUUCACUCAGUGAUGGCAAAGUCCAUCCAACAGAAACUAACAUUCAUACACAUUCACACACCGAUGCACGGCAUCAGGAGCAAUUCGGGGUUCAGUAUCUUGCUCAAGGAUACUUCGACAUGUGGCACCAGGAGCUGGGGAUCGAACCCACAACCUUCCAAUUAAGGAACGACCCGCUCUGCCUCUGAGCCACAGCCGCCCACCACUACCAUCUGACAUCAUAAACAAGGGACAGUACCACCGCCUUGAUAUAAUGCAGUUAAUACGGAAGUUCCCCCUAGUUUCGCCGAUGCACUCUCUUGCUUCUCGUUACAGAAAUUCAGACAAUUGGCACCAGCCCCAAACACCAUUACAACUCCAGUCCCACUGUUUACAGCCACCAUCUUCAACUGACUCCCCCAGAUGGACAAUCUGGUUGCCGUUUUCCUUCACUCGAUGUCCUUUCACUCUCACAGCUUUAUCCUUUAUCCUCGCCCAUUCCAUCGGUAAGAUUAUCGUACCCGCACGAAAUUGGUUUCGUCACAACACGUAAACAAUAUCAAAAACUUCAUGAGUCGAAGUUUCUUUAGUGGCUCUCGACAAGAGAUAUGAAGAGACAGCUCCCUCACUCAGAGUCUCACCACCCACUUGGUUCCCUUUUACCAUCUAGCCGAACCCCUCCGUCCAUUCAUCCCUCCGUUAACAAACCCACCUUUCUUCCAUCUGUUCAUCCCUCACCCUUCCUUCCGAUACCCCUUCAUUCCUCAACCUUCAUCCCUACAUCCCUCAAACGUCCAUCCUCCAUUACUCAUCCCUCAACCCUUCAUCCUUAAACCUUCAACCCUUCAUCCUGUGGUAGAUGAAUGUUUUAGGAGGCAUAGUAAAUGUAUACAGUUUGGUUAGGGGGUCGUGUUUUUAUGGUAGCGGGUGACUGAUUAGACUCACGGUCACAGGGUCAGAUUAAAGGACCAUUUGUGUUGAUGACCUCAACCUUUCAUGUGUGAUUUACAGCAGUGUGUAAAUACAACAAAUAACAGAUGGGUUUUUGGUUGGAUGUACUGAAAGUUAUAUAAGGUAGAGCAUUCUGGAAGUAGGGAGAGAAUGUCUAUGCUGUGGUCUUCUCUUCAUGCUGCAGUAAAGGAAUUUGAUUCAUCACACUGGGUUUGUGAUUCUUCAGAGAACUAGCAACUCUCAGGGCUCUAUCUUGCCGAUCUGAAACGCAAGUAUCAAACGCAAAACGCAAGUAGCUUUGUGGGCAGAUCUCGGGCGCUGUUGCUUUUAUGCCGGCGGGAUAAAUGACUCUUGCGCCCGGCGCAAAUCUAAAAUGGGUUGGUCUGAAGUAGCUACAUUAGUCAUAGGUGUGGUUUGGGCGUAACGUGCAAUAAACCAAUCAGAGCGUCAUCUCACAUUCCCUUUAAAAGCAGGCACGCUUGUUCCAUGGCGGAUUGCUAUUAUAACGGCGGAUUUGCCAGGCGCACGACAGGAGCGGUUCACAGCCGAGGAGACCGACGUUCUCGUCAGGGCCGUAAAAUACAGAAAAGUGUCAUUAUUGACAUGAAAUAAAUGUAGCACAGUCAUACAAUGAAUCAAAACAAUGUAACGCAGCUUCCAGGAAGAAGACCCUGGCCUCGGGAGCAGUGCGCACGGGCCGAGCAGUGCGCAAGGGCCAGCUUAGGAGGGAGCGACGCAAACACCAAGGUGCAGAGGAUCCAGACCCACUACAUGCUGGAGGACCACCCGUUCCUGCGUCAAACCGGGUUUGACAUGCUGGAGCGGGAGCUGUCCGGGAUGCGGCAAAGUAUUAAUGCCCGUCUUGACCAGGUGGCGAUGUUGCUGCUGCCACUCAGGCACAUCCCCUCAAGUCUGUGCCCUUAAAAUAGCAUCUGAAUAAGCGCCACUGACUUUAGACUAGGUUUUUCCUGGUCUGUGGCGGAAUUGUUUUCUGAAACAGCAAAAUAGCACCAGGGAACGUUUGCGCCAGAACACGCCUCCUCUUUUCGCUGAACCGCCCCCCAGAGCGCAAGUUCAUUCUCUAAUUUAAGGACGUGCGUCGGUGGAGGGAAAAUUCCAAUGUGGAUAGAGUGCAAAAUAGGAAUUAUACAAGCGCCAGUGUACAAAGUCAAUUGCGCUGAGUGCAAGAUAGAGCCCUCAAUAUUAUGGAAGAAUUUCCACUACAAUCCCUCAACCCUCAUCCAUUCUUCCCUUUACCCCUAAACCCUUUCCCAAUCCAUUCAUCCCUCCUACAGAUUUCAACGACAGGUCACGUCUCCUUGUUUCAUCCUGUAGGUUAUGUAUUAAAACCUCACAUAAAUUGCUGUGAUGUAAACGUUUUAUAUUGUACGCAUUUAGUGAUUACUUAAUCCCCCAUGUGCCUCCACAUGCAGCUCUCCUGGUGGUUCCCAAAUCAAGAUUAAAAAACAGAGGUGAAGUCUUUGCCAUCAGAGCCCCCCAAACUGUGGAACAGCCUUCCAGAAGAGACCAGGAUGGCAAAUUCUAUUACUUCUUUUAAGUCUCUUCAUAAAAUGCUUUUAUAGGCUUAUUGCCUUUCUGUGACCCUUUUUCUAACCUUUUAUUCACCGUGGUUCUGCUUUCCAUUUUAUUGUCUUUUUAUUUACUUACUUAUUUACUAUAUUUUACAAUGUUUAUUGUUUUAUUCUAUAUAUUGUUACUGAUGCUGCUAUGGUCCUUAGUGUUGUUUGUGUUUUUUGUGUUGUUUUAACCAUGUAAAAACAUGUUAUAAACCAGUUUUUGAAAGGUGCUAUAUAAAUAAAGUUUAUUAUUAUUAUUAUUAUUAUUAUUAUUAUUAUUAUUAUUGUAACUUAAAUGGCUUAGUAGUCAGUGAUCUGUUAGACAUGGGAACCCAAGUAAGCAUGAUUGACAUGAGGAAAAGCAAAUACCUACCUGACAUAACUGUUAGGCCACUUAACAAAAUUAUUGAUGAUGAAGAAGAGUAAGAAAUCUAUUCUGUGAAUAGUGAUCUUCUUCCUUUUGAGGGCUGGGUUGCCUUUACCGUCAACUUGAUGAGGAAUGACGACCCGCUCUACCUCUGUCGGACAUCAGAAAAUUGCAGGACAUCCAGGUUUUUAUCCUUAAGGCAUGCUUGUAAUUUUAAAUUUAGCUAAUUGAUGAAUUUCAUCAGGCUUGAUUGAUAGAUAUAACUGGGUAUCAUCUGCAUAACGUUGAAAGUAAUGGAGUGAUUCCUAAUAAUGUGUCCUAAGGGAAACAUAGAGUAUAAAAAGGAUUGGUCCAAGCAGUGUGCAUGGAGGAUUCAUUGUUAACGGGUACAAACUGAGAUCGAUCUGAUAAAUAGGCCUUUAACCAGUUUAGUUUAAUGCCAAUUAGAUGACCAAGUCUUUGAAAUAGAAUGUGAAGGUCAAUGGUGUCAAAUGCAGCAAAAUCUAACAAGACAGGUACAAAGACAAGUCCACUGUCUGUCUCUGUGCUGUGAUGUACCCUAAAUCCUGACUGAAAAUCCUGUUAUGUAGAAGGUCACACAACUAUUUGGCAACUACCUUCUCAAGAAUUUUAGAGAGAAAGGGGGGGUUAGAAAUAGGUCUAUAGUUGGCUAAAACCACUGGGUCAAAAGUGUUUUUUAGGAAGGGGUUUAAUUAAGGCUACUUUAAAGGACUGUGGUGCAAAGCCUGAAAAUAAAUCUCCUAUUUUUGGUGAAUGACUUACCUACUUGGGGUACCUAUGGGUACUCCAUCCCAUGCCAGACCUAUGCCUGAAAGAAAAACACAUCACAGGCAAAGGCAAGUGUAGCGAACACACAAAAACAAGCAGACAUGAGUGACAAAUCAGAAAAUGAUUCAUAUAAUGACUGCAACUCAGGUUACUGGUUAAGGAUACCCAGGGAUCGAUCCAACAACCUUCCAAUUAGGGGACAACCCGCUCUUCCUCUGAGCCACAUUGCUAAUAUUACUGAUAUUAUUGUUAUUAUUAUUAUUACUAUUAUUAUUACUACUGUUACUAUUAUUACUAUAAUCACUGCUCAUUGUUCCCCAUGGUUGUUGUUGUCAUCGUCAUCAUCAUUCUCUUCAUAUUUAUCAUCAUUAUCAACAUCAGUCACUACUAUUAGUGUAGUUGUUGCUACUGUUGUUGCUGUGCACCUUUGUCUCUGUCUCUGUCCUUCUGUCGUUACUUCUGUCUCUGUCCUUCUGUCUUUAACUCAUUCUAUCUCUCUCUCUCUGUCUCUCUCACCCCAAAUGGUCGAGGCAGGUGGCCACCCACCUAGAGCCAGGGUCUGUCUAAGGUUUUUGCCUCUUAAAAGGAAGUUUUACCUUGCCGCCAUCGCCAAGUGCUUGCUCAUGGUGUGAACUGUUGGGUCUCUGUAAAUAAUUUUAUAAGGAGUACGAUCUAGACCUGCUCUAUUUUGAAAAGUGUCCUAAGAUAACUUUUAUUAUGAUUUGGCGCUAUACAAAUACAAUUUUCAUUGAAUACUCACCUAAUCCUGUUUCAUCACCUAAAGAAAGUGGAGUCAAAGAGAGGCAAGACACAGAUGACUCAACUGUCCUUGCCAGACCUGAGGAAGAGCAUAAAAACAACAAGCACCUAGAUUCUGACACAAGAGCUUAAACCCUGACCCACGAAGAACACCCUCACCCAGAGGUGAGGAGGUCUACUCGUGAUAGAAAGCCACAACAAUUACAUAUGAGUCAUUAGGGUGAACCGUCCAUACAGUUUUCCCCCGGUGAUCAAUAAAGUAUUUCUGAUUCUAAUUCUGAUUCUGAUUCACCUAAAUACCCAUUAGCACCAUACAUUGCGUCUAUUUGUAUGCCAUGCUUAACCCCGAUGUUUUUCAGCUAGACACAGGUUUCAGUGACUUAUUUGCAAAUAGACUCAUUCAAAUGCACAAGUCCUGGGGCCUCAUGUACUAAUGUUGCUUACGCACAAAAUUCGUGCAUACACCAUUUUUCACGUUCACGUUCGGAUGUACUAAAAUUGAAAUGAACGUGAGAAUGUGCGGUCCUCCACGGCAGCUUCAUUGCUGGCGUACGUACAUAUUUUUUGCUUAUGUCAGUUGUCAGUUGGCGACACUCACAGACGAUGCAUUGAAAUUGCAUAGCCGAAAUUAACAAUUGCUCUUGGGACAGUUGCACUGCAUGUGAAAGUCAUUAUUAUUUACAAUCAAUCAAUCAAUUACACAAUUUUAAAUAAUUUGCAGAUUAUUUUUGUUAAGGGGUUAUUUACUGCAGUGAGCAGUCCUCUACUGCGUAUGGAGGAUAAGUAGAACACACUCGAAUUAUCUUUAGCCUCUUGGCAUAUUUAUUUAACAGUUAACAAUAAAGUGCGGACCGAUGUGCCGCCGUCUCAUCAGCAUGGCUCACACAUAACAACAACUAGCGCUCACUGGGAGCGUGGUGACGUCACGUCUUGUACGUACCGUAACCCUUUCACAAUACAAGGGAGUAAGGGCGCCAUCAAAUUUGCACCUUGGGUGUACGGGAAAAAUCUAGCAUCAAUUAUCCAAUUAGUGUAAAGCAUAUAAACGCAUGCGCAAAAUGUUGCAAUUAUCGAUAUGUUGAUGAUAGCAGUGUUGGCCUUGUUAGAGGACCUGGCUAAUGGCCGAAUCCGCAGGGAACGGGUUUUCCAUGACUAUCAUGACUUUUUGGUCCAAGAUGAUGAUUGGCUUAUUAGCCGUUUCAGAUUUCCAAGAGCUAUCCUCUUGGAACUCUGUGCUGAAUUGGGUCAGGUCUUGGAGAGAGAGACGGCGAGGAGCCACGCAUUGCCAGUUCCCUUACAGGUGCUCACAACACUUGGGUUCCUGGCAACAGGGUCAUUCCAGAGGGAACUGGCAGACCGUUCAGGGAUGUCCCACUUAGCUCUUAGCCGCGCCAUGCCAGCUGUGUUGGACGGGAUCAUCCACAUGUCGGCUAGGUAUAUAAGUUUCCCAUACGAUGUAUGAUUUGCUUAUGUGAAUAGGAAGCAUUUCCAUUCCAUAAAUGUGCAAAUAAUCUGUGAUGCACAAAUGCGUCUUACUAAUGUUGUGGCGAGGUGGCCUGGAUCAACCCAUGAUUCGUUCAUUCUCAGUAACAGCAUGGUUGGGAUUAGGCUUCAAGCCGGCAGAGUGCACGAUGGGUGGCUUAUUGGAGACCGCGGUUACACGCUGGCAACGUGGCUGAUGACCCCCCUUGCCAACCCACAGACUGACCAGGAGCGGAGGUAUAAUGAUCUCCAUUCUCGCACCCGGUCAGUUGUGGAGAGGGAUCGGCCAGCUGAAGAGCCGGUGGCGCUGCCUGGACAGGACCGGGGGCAUGCUUUUAGAUCGUCCGGAGAAGGUGUGCCGCAUUGAGUUGGCGUGUGCUGUCCUCCACAAUGUUGCGCACAGACACGCUCUGCCAUUGGUUGAGGUGGUGGGGCAACUACAGGAACCAGACCCUGGACCCAUUAACGCUCAACACAACCCAGGUGCCAUUCAGACCCGACACCAACUAAUUGCAGCAAUAUAAAAAAGCACAGCACUUGUGAGAACACGGCCGGUUGGAUGGGACCCAGCAUCGGGGGGAGCACAGGAAGUGCCCCUGGAGACGCCAGCCUGCACAGGAGAGUCCAAGGUGGUGCGCGGCGUGGCUGUGGACUGUACUGGGGUGGAGUGGGUGCCACUUGAUGCUCCACUGAAAAUAAAAUAAA